CCUACGGGUGGCAGCAGUGAGGAAUAUUGGUCAAUGGGCGCAAGCCUGAUCCAGCCAAGUCGCGUGAGGGAUGACGGUCCUAUGGAUUGUAAACCUCUUUUGUCGGGGAGCAAGGCCCGCCACGUGUGGCGUGAAGGAGAGUACCCGAAGAAAAAGCAUCGGCUAACUCCGUGCCAGCAGCCGCGGUAAUACGGAGGAUGCGAGCGUUAUCCGGAUUUAUUGGGUUUAAAGGGUGCGUAGGCGGAAGGUUAAGUCAGCGGUCAAAUGUCGGUGCUCAACACCGGCCUGCCGUUGAAACUGGUCAUCUUGAGUGAGCGAGAAGUAUGCGGAAUGCGUGGUGUAGCGGUGAAAUGCAUAGAUAUCACGCAGAACUCCGAGUGCGAAGGCAGCAUACCGGCGCUCAACUGACGCUGAGGCACGAAAGCGUGGGGAGCGAACAGGAUUAGAUACCCUAGUAGUC
rnacentral:rRNA from 1 species